UUGAACGCUGGCGGCAUGCCUUACCCAUGCCCGUCGAACGGCAGCACGGGUGCUUGCACCUGGUGGCGAGUGGCGAACGGGUGAGUAAUACAUCGGAACAUGUCCUGUAGUGGGGGAUAGCCCGGCGAAAGCCGGAUUAAUACCGCAUACGAUCUACGGAUGAAAGCGGGGGACCUUCGGGCCUCGCGCUAUAGGGUUGGCCGAUGGCUGAUUAGCUAGUUGGUGGGGUAAAGGCUUACCAAGGCGACGAUCAGUAGCUGGUCUGAGAGGACGACCAGCCACACUGGGACUGAGACACGGCCCAGACUCCUACGGGAGGCAGCAGUGGGGAAUUUUGGACAAUGGGCGAAAGCCUGAUCCAGCAAUGCCGCGUGUGUGAAGAAGGCCUUCGGGUUGUAAAGCACUUUUGUCCGGAAAGAAAUCCUUGGCCCUAAUACGGUCGGGGGAUGACGGUACCGGAAGAAUAAGCACCGGCUAACUACGUG
rnacentral:rRNA from 1 species